CGAAUUCUAAGUGUCCCUCCUCCUUCUCCUUCCAGUUGGAGCCAUGGAGAUAGCUUCUGGUUUUGGAUGCUAAUUUGUUUUAGUGGACAUCUACAAAGACGGCCUCUGGCCUCACUCAGCAUCUUUUGCAAAUGUCUAUAUAUUUCAGAUACAUCGUUGCCAAUGUCUACCGUUGCUGGGUACAUCCAAGGAGUCUAUGGUCCAUCCAGACCUCAGACUGAUUGACCCUCAGCGUCUUCUGACCCCAGAACCUUGUCUCAGCCUCUUGAGGAGGAAAUGGAGGACUGGGCUAUCUCGGUCCCUCUCUUUCCAGACAAACCAUAUAGUCCACCAUGUCCAGUUUAUGUGGAGAUACGUGUAGGGUGUUCUGGGAAUGUUGGUAUCUCUGUCCCCUAACUUCUGUGGCACCCAGAUGCUGAAGCUGGGGUGAGGCAGGAGAAUGCCUCCCAUGGUUGGGGUUUUGCUGAGGCAAGGCUCUGAACUCCAAUGUUCAGCAGUCAAGCUCCCACAGCACAGCCUUGAUAAACUAAGGCAUUAUGAUACAUCACAGGCUAGGAUGAUACACCAAGAAAGAAGCCUGGCUGACAAUUCCAACACUAGCCUGUCACACCUUUUACCCUGUUUUUUGGUACUCUGGUACAGGCUGACUCAUCUUCUCCAGGACCGCAGGGUUUGUUUGUGCUCCUGGUAACUUGAAGGGUGGAGACAGGGCUCUUGGAUGUGGUUUCUAAGAGGUGAGGUGGGGUAGAAGGUAGACAAAGACGAGCUACUGGUUGUACACAGCAGAAAACCAGGCUGGCUAAUUCUGCCCAGUGAGAAUUUUCUGGAAGGGUGACUGAGCAGUCCACAGAAUCACCAGGUAAACUAAGAAGACCCAUCUCUUAAAUUGUCCAGGAACCCAUAAGACUGCAGUAGAACCACAGGAAAGGACUCUAGAGGACCGUCCUGCUGCCCCCAGGGUCAAGUUGCCCCUGGAUGCUGUUGCUGGGGACAUGAUGAAUGGCAUCUCUGAUGGCCCUGGCUUCUCAGGGGGCCCAGGUUCAGUGCCCACGAACUCUGUAGGGAUGUUGUGAGGGAUCUUUGGCCUGUAGGGGGUUCCCAUUCUGGAUUAGCCCCACCUCCACCAUGGUGUGUAGCUGCUAAGCAACCAAAACCAACAAACACCAACCUCUGUAAUUUCCCUGAAUUUGCCAUUGCCAAGAGGCAGUCUCCAACCUGCCUCCCGUAGGCAGCUGGCUACUCAGAGUACCGCUUGCAGAUGUGGGUCAGAGACCUCACGAAGCUCGGUGAAGCCGCCCAGACAGGUCCGGCUCAUGAAACUCUACCCCCAGCCCACCAAUUCUCUUCCCCAGGGCUCCGAAGAUUUCUUCUGUAGUGGACCAAGAAGUCAUGUCCUGAAGCUCUGUGAGCCGGGCAACCAUCACGACGCGAAUGCAACCCAAGGCCAGCGAUAAGCUCAACCCACUGCAGGAGUCUGCAAAUGAAUAAAAAUCAGACGUGGUGGGAGAAUCCUGUAAGGGUGGCACUCAAGAGAUGGAGGCUGCCAGGCCUUUAGGUGGAUCUCUGUGAGUUCGAAGUCAGCCUGGUCUACAGAGCGAGUUCCAGGACAGCCAGGGCUACACAGAGGAACCCUGUCUCAAAAAACAAACAAACAAACAAACAAACAAACAAACUCAGCCAACCAACCAACCAAAACAAAACAAAACACAAACACAAAAGAGAUGGAGGGAAGAGGAUUAGAAGUUUAUACGCUUAGCUGUAUAGCACGACCUUGUUUUUUUUCUCUCUCUCUCUCUCUCUCUCUCUAGCUCAUGCUGGGUUAGUACUCUGUAGCCCAAGGUGGCCUUGAACAUGUGACCAUCUUCCUCUUUUACCUUCCUGAGAGAUGGGACCCAUGAACCUUCAUGGCUGACUUCCUCUCUCUCUCUCUCUCUCUCUCCCUCCCUCCCUCCCUCUCUCUCUCUCUUUCUUCUUUUAAAAUGUGCAUCAGUGUUUUUCCUGCUUGUAUGUCUCUAAGUGAAGGUGUCAGAUCUUGGAGUUAUAGACAAGACAGUGGUGAGUUGCCAUGUGGUUGCUGGGAAUUGAACCUGGGUCCUCUGGAAGAGCAGUCAGUGCUCUCAACCACUGAGCCAUCUCUCCAGCCUCUUUCUUUUCUUACAACAGGGUCUAACAUACUCGUAUUGGAUUGAACUCAUCAUGAGGCUGAGACUGAUGUCACUGUGACUGGUCAUCAUGCCUGGUUUUCUAUUCUUGUUUCUUUCAGUCCUUUGAAGUUUUGUUUCUGGACUUCAUUCGCAGGCCAGAUCUAGCCAUAGAACCCUCAGCUACUUCUCCAGUGCCACGCCUGCCUGCAUGCCGUCAUGCUUCCCGUCAUGAUGACAAUGGACUAAACCUCUGAACUGUAAACCAGCUGUUGUGGGUCACUUUUGCUACCCCGCCUAAGCUCCGGGAAUGGGCUGUGCUACCAGCCCCCACCCAGAUUCCCUCAAAUCCACAGAUUA
rnacentral:lncRNA from 1 species